rnacentral:rRNA from 1 species
AGCGUAGGCGGAUUUUUAAGUGAGAUGUGAAAUACUCGGGCUUAACCUGAGUGCUGCAUUUCAAACUGGAAGUCUAGAGUGCAGGAGAGGAGAAGGGAAUUCCUAGUGUAGCGGUGAAAUGCGUAGAGAUUAGGAAGAACACCAGUGGCGAAAGCGCUUCUCUGGACUGUAACUGACGCUGAGGCUCGAAAGCGUGGGAGCAAACA